AAGAAUAAAUGAAAUGAGUAAGCUGCUAACUAUACUCAUAAGCGGUUUAAUUCCGUUAGGUUCUUA
rnacentral:tRNA from 1 species